rnacentral:rRNA from 1 species
GCCAGCAGCCAUUUCACCCUGCAACUCAUAACUGAAGUUCAGCAGCUCAGCAGGUGUGAGCCUGGUCAAUUCCUGGAUGGGAGACCUCCUGUGAAGAACUAAGGUUGCUGCUGGAA